rnacentral:rRNA from 1 species
UACGAAGGGGGCUAGCGUUACUCGGAAUCACUGGGCGUAAAGGGUGCGUAGGCGGGGCUUUAAGUCAGAGGUGAAAUCCUGGAGCUCAACUCCAGAACUGCCUUUGAUACUGAGGAUCUUGAGUUCGGGAGAGGUGAGUGGAACUGCGAGUGUAGAGGUGAAAUUCGUAGAUAUUCGCAAGAACACCAGUGGCGAAGGCGGCUCACUGGCCCGAUACUGACGCUGAGGCACGAAAGCGUGGGGAGCAAACAGG